rnacentral:rRNA from 1 species
AUUGAACGCUGGCGGCAUGCUUUACACAUGCAAGUCGGACGAGUGGCGGACGGGUGAGUAAUGCUUGGGAAUCUAGCUUAUGGAGGGGGAUAACUACGGGAACCUGUAGCUAAUCCCGCGUAACAUCGGAUGAGCCCAAGGGGGAUUAGGUAGUUGGUGAGGUAAAGGCUCACCAAGCCGACGAUCUCUAGCUGGUCUGAGAGGAUGACCGGCCACACUGGGACUGAGACACGGCCCAGACUCCUACGGGAGGCAGCAGUGGGGAAUCUUGCGCAAUGGGGGCAACCUGACCCAGCCAUGCCGCGUGAAUGAAGAAGGCCUUCGGGUUGUAAAGUUCUUUCGGUAGCGAGGCGUUAACUAAAGAAGAAGCACCGGCUAACUCCGUGCCAGCAGCCGCGGUAAUUC